UACGUAGGGUGCAAGCGUUGUUCGGAAUUACUGGGCGUAAAGCGCGUGUAGGCGGUUAUGCAAGUCGGGUGUGAAAGCCCCGGGCUCAACCCGGGAAGUGCAUUCGAUACUGCGUAGCUAGAGUACUGGAGAGGAUGGUGGAACUCUCGGUGUAGAGGUGAAAUUCGUAGAUAUCGAGAAGAACACCGGUGGCGAAGGCGGCCAUCUGGACAGAUACUGACGCUGAGACGCGAAAGCGUGGGGAGCGAACAGG
rnacentral:rRNA from 1 species